UGAGUACGAGCUGCUACGGCAGCGAAGUGGGUGACGUCAAGCUUCCAAGAAAAGCCCUAUACCCGUUAAGGCAUGACUGCCUGUACCCGAAACCGACACAGGUGGGGUGGUAGAGAAUACCGAGGGGCCGAGGUAACUCUCUCUAAGGAACUCGGCAAAAUGGCCCCGUAACUUCGGGAGAAGGGGUGCCACCGCAAGGUGGUCGCAGUGAAGAGGCCCAGGCGACUGUUUACCAAAAACACAGGUCUCCGCUAAGUCGCAAGACGAUGUAUGGGGGCUGACGCCUGCCCAGUGCCGGAAGGUUAAGGAAGCUGGUCAGCGCAAGCGAAGCUAGCGACUGAAGCCCCGGUGAACGGCGGCCGUAACUAUAACGGUCCUAAGGUAGCGAAAUUCCUUGUCGGGUAAGUUCCGACCCGCACGAAAGGCGUAACGAUCUGGGCGCCGUCUCGGAGAGAGGCUCGGCGAAAUAGAAUUGUCUGUGAAGAUGCGGACUACGUGCACCCGGACAGAAAGACCCUAUGAAGCUUUACUGUAGCUUGGUAUUGUGCCCGGGCUCUGAAUGCGCAGGAUAGGUGGGAGGCUUUGAUCCAUUGCUUGCGGGUGAUGGUGAGCCAACGGUGAGAUACCACUCUUUCAGAGCUAGGGUUCUAACGGUCACCCGUUAUCCGGGGACCGGACAGUAUCAGGUGGGCAGUUUGACUGGGGCGGUCGCCUCCUAAAAGGUAACGGAGGCGCGCAAAGGUUCCCUCAGGCUGGUUGGAAAUCAGCCGACGAGUGUAAAGGCAGAAGGGAGCUUGACUGUGAGACCAACAAGUCGAACAGGGACGAAAGUCGGCCUUAGUGAUCCGACGGUUCUGAGUGGAAGGGCCGUCGCUCAACGGAUAAAAGUUACUCUAAGGAUAACAGGCUGAUCUCCCCCAAGAGUUCACAUCGACGGGGAGGUUUGGCACCUCGAUGUCGGCUCAUCGCAACCUGGGGCUGAAGUCGGUCCCAAUGGUUGGGCUGUUCGCCCAUUAAAGCGGUACGCGAGCUGGGUUCAGAACGUCGAGAGACAGUUCGGUCCAUAUCCGGUGCAUGCGCAGGAACAUUGAGAGGAUUUCUCCCUAGUACGAGAGGACCGGGAGGAACGCACCUCUGGUGUACCAGUUAUCGUGCCAACGGUAAACGCUGGGUAGCCAUGUGCGGAGCGGAUAACCGCUGAAAGCAUCUAAGUGGGAAGCCCACCUCAAGAUGAGUGUUCCCAUGGCACAAGCCAGUAAGGUCACGGGAAGAACACCCGUUGAUAGGCUCUACGUGGAAGCGCAGUAAUGCGUGAAGCGGAGGAGUACUAAUAGACC
rnacentral:rRNA from 1 species